AAGAGUUGGGGUCCUCCGGGGCCCGAUCUCCCACCCUUUGUUGUCGCGAAUUUGUUGCCUCGGCGGGUUGUCUUUGUCAAAAAGGACGACGGGCUCCGGCCCGCCCGCCGCAGGACCAUUCAAACUCUGCUUUAACAAUGCAGUCUGAGAAGAUUUUAAUAAUAAAUCA
rnacentral:misc_RNA from 1 species